rnacentral:rRNA from 1 species
CCACCUCCCAUCCGUGUCUAUUGUACCCUGUUGCUUCGGCGGGCCCGCCGCUUGUCGGCCGCCGGGGGGGCGCCUCUGCCCCCCGGGCCCGUGCCCGCCGGAGACCCCAACACGAACACUGUCUGAAAGCGUGCAGUCUGAGUUGAUUGAAUGCAAUCAGUUAAAACUUUCAACAAUGGAUCUCUUGGUUCCGGCAUCGAUGAAGAACGCAGCGAAAUGCGAUAACUAAUGUGAAUUGCAGAAUUCAGUGAAUCAUCGAGUCUUUGAACGCACAUUGCGCCCCCUGGUAUUCCGGGGGGCAUGCCUGUCCGAGCGUCAUUGCUGCCCUCAAGCCCGGCUUGUGUGUUGGGUCGCCGUCCCCCUCUCCGGGGGGACGGGCCCGAAAGGCAGCGGCGGCACCGCGUCCGAUCCUCGAGCGUAUGGGGCUUUGUCACAUGCUCUGUAGGAUUGGCCGGCGCCUGCCGACGUUUUCCAACCAUUCUUUCCAGGUUGACCUCGGAUCAGGUAGGGAUACCCGCUGAACUUAAGCAUAUCAAUAAG